GAUGAACGCUGGCGGCGUGCUUAACACAUGCAAGUCGAACGAUGAAGCCCAGCUUGCUGGGUGGAUUAGUGGCGAACGGGUGAGUAACACGUGAGUAACCUGCCCUUAACUCUGGGAUAAGCCUGGUAAACUGGGUCUAAUACCGGAUAGGAGCGUCCACCGCAUGGUGGGUGUUGGAAAGAUUUAUCGGUUUUGGAUGGACUCGCGGCCUAUCAGCUUGUUGGUGAGGUAAUGGCUCACCAAGGCGACGACGGGUAGCCGGCCUGAGAGGGUGACCGGCCACACUGGGACUGAGACACGGCCCAGACUCCUACGGGAGGCAGCAGUGGGGAAUAUUGCACAAUGGGCGCAAGCCUGAUGCAGAGACGCCGCGUGAGGGAUGACGGCCUUCGGGUUGUAAACCUCUUUCAGUAGGGAAGAAGCGAAAGUGACGGUACCUGCAGAAGAAGCACCGGCUAACUACGUG
rnacentral:rRNA from 1 species